UGCAGCCGUCCCAGGGCGGGGCUCUCGCCAGCUCCCGGCUUCCCUUUUCACCGCGGCCUCUGUGGAGGCUGCUGUGUCCGGCGGAGCUCCGAGCACGUGCUGUGUCCAGCUGCCAAUUUGAGGCGAUACCUGCCCUGGAUGACUUGAAAGUAGGGUGGUCUUCACCAGGCUGAAAGAAGUAAUGAUCCACAACAAGGGUGCCCGUGUGGUUCUCAGAUCUGAGUGAGAUCUGCAUCCAUUGGGACCUCGGGGGUCUGACAGCACCGUGUUUUGAGUAAUGUAUGUGGUCUCUAAUGUAGAGAUACUUCAGUUCAGAUGGGGAAUGUCUGCUUUAGAGGGUUAUAGAAUGAACCAUGAUGUAACUCCAGAGAAUGCUUGUGAAGUCCAGCUAGUCUUUGGCGGAUGAGGCAGUGAAGGUGCUCACAGCCAUCGCCACUGAGCUACAUCUCCAGCUAUAAUUUUUAGAAGGACUAGAUGAUGUCUGGGUACUACAUGGGGCUGGCUACUUGCUAAUUAAGAAGUAAGUGGUUUUCAGACAUCUAUUUGGAUGGUAGCCAUCUUAGGACAGCUUAGAAUGUUCCGGAAAGUUUAGGAUGAUGCUUUUUUAAAAGCAAAGGUUUAUGAAGUUCCUGUAAUGGCACAUAAUAAAUAUUGUUAAUAUUGUCUUUGGUUUUACCACUAUGUUGCUUUUGUGUAAAUGAACAUGGUUAUAUUCCAAUAAAACAUAACUGAUGAACACUGA